AUGAGAAACAAAGUAGUCAAGAGAAUGGAUGACUUUGUGUCAAGCUGGAAUGAGAAACUGACCCAAUCACAAGCAACUCCAUUGAUAGCACGUCUUCUUCAAGAGAUAGAAAAGUACAAGGCAUUCAUCCCAUGCUUGAGGUUUUUAAGAGGUGAUAUGUUCAGUGAAAAGCACUGGGUGGAACUGUUUUCAAUAAUUGAGCAGCCAUACAAGCCUGUGGAGCUCAUUGUUUUUAAUGACUUUCUCCAACAUAAAGAAAUCGUCCAAGACCGCCUCUCUUUAAUUCAGGUAUUUUUCCAAAUUAUAAAAGUGCUGUAAUAUCUCAAACUGCAUUCAGCAGAAAGUCAUCACCAGCCAAUAUUAUGUUUAGCUACAACUCAUCUAUUCAGCUAGUCCUUCAUUUAAUUUUUUUCUCCUCUCAAAAAUGACUUACAGGACAUCAGAUUCUCAUGCAUUUUUCAACUGGAAUUCCUUUAGCGCUUGCAGAACAGCAAAGUGGUUUUAUUUUUAAUUUGACCUGAUGCAGACAAUAUGUAGUGUGAUUGUCAAAAGGUGAUUCAGACAGUUGAACCCCUUUUUUCCAGAUUUACUCCACCCUCCAGUUGUUUUCUCAUUAUGUGCCUCAAAAUCUAAUGCAUCCUGAGCUUUUCCCUUUCUUACAAUAUUAUAUCUCUCCUAUAGCUUUCAAAGGUUGUCUCCCCUCUCCGCUCCCUUUGACAGUCAUCAUGCCAACUGCCAUCGAACAACCAAUUGAGGCGGCUCCAGACGCUGAAAUGAAGACCAUGAUAUUAAUGAAAUCAAGCAAGUGAACAAAUAAAUCUAUCAUAUAGUCCAUAUCGAUGGUGAAACCACAGAAAUCUGUAUCUUGGUUUGCAGUGUCGCAUAUUUUCUGUCAUACUUUAUUUUCUACAUGGAAAAUUACUGAACGUUAUUUUUUUAAAGUUUCAGUGAUGUCUCUUCUCUUUAUGAAGAAUAUUCUGUGAAAACUACAAGCCAUGAUAUUGGUUUGGUCUCCUCUUGAAAAUUAAAAUAGGAGUGGAGACUUCAAAACACCGCAAUCGAGAUAUGCAUUUUCGAAGUUUCAUUAUCAAUAUGUCAUAACCAUUGGUUCAAUGGCCACAAUUUCUCUUUUUUUUCAGAUUAUUUUUAUGUUUAAAAUUAAAAAUUAAUUGUAACUCAGGCAAUUAAAAGAGCACAAACUCUCUACUGCAGCCAAUGAUUGUUCUGUCACUAUCUCUGUGGAAUG
rnacentral:lncRNA from 1 species